ACCUGUCCCCACACCCUGUACCUUCCCACUACAGCACAAGAAAACUCCUUCGAUCACGAGCCUGCUCAUCGCCCGUCUCCCUAACCUGGGAGCUUUGCAGCCCUUCCAGCAAUCCCAGUCCGUACCUACAGAGCGGCGAGGGUCGCUUUGCAAACAGCUGUAUAGAAAACCCAGGUCCUGAAUCCCUGGCAGCUGAAGCUCCAGGAGGAGGAAGGAUUUACAUGAUGUUUAGAGUACACUGAUACUACAUCAUAUUUACUAAAAGGAAGAAAAACAUCAUGGGUGCAGAAAUGCAACAAUUCUUCAAUAGCCAGCAGCAAAACAAUAGAAUUAGCUACUUCAGGUAUUUUCACCUUUUUGAAAUAACUCUGCACAGAAAUAAAGAAUAUGAUGAACGUAGUUUAAUUAAGAAUUAUAGCCAUAGUCACAUUACAUCUCAAAACAUGAAUUCAAUCUUCCCACUGCAUAAAGUUCUACAUCCAUACUUCCCAGAACAAGGAAGGGGAAAUAUCAGAUAAUCUUCAAUACUUACAUAAUUUCUAAGAUGAAAAAUAUUAGUGAAAACAGUAGUAUUCUUUUGGCAUACUAUGAAGGUAGUGCUUACUGCUUUUGGCAAGAGAAGAAAUUAUAAAUAAAAAUAUUUUAAUAUUAGGGAAAGGGAAAACCUGUAUCUAAAGUGUUUCACUGAAUUAAUGCUUUCAAACAGUACUUCAGCCCAAUAGAAACACAAUAAAUCCCCGAAGGUUUUAUUUUGCCCUGAAAGGCAUUUGAAGCAGGAGUGUUACUCAACAUACAUGGCAUGGCAGUUAACUACACACACAUGGAAAUCCACCUUUUAAAAACCCAAUAACAUUUAUAGUGUUUGAUUCCCUUAUAUACAGGCACGCACUUUGCUAGCUUCUCUUUCCCUUUCUACAACUUAAUGAGACUGUGCAAUACUGGAGCAGUAGUCCAAAAUGUCCUGUAUAGUGAAUUCCAUAGUAAUUCCUGAUCCAGGGUAGCAGCGAGCUAUCAGCCCUUCAAAGUGCUUGUACUGUCGUAUGAAUUCAUCUUGCAUGGAGUGCCACACGACCUGCCAAAGAAAGCAAACUUUAGGAAAAGUCAGCUGGCACAACACACUGCAUAGGUUAACUAGAAAACACUGGCUCAUUAAUUGAUUCUCACUUCAGGUGUCAUUUUACAGUUCAAGAUUACUAAUAAAGUUCAAUAGACUGAGUUACUGCAUUAAAAAGAAGAUUGAUAGUUUUUACCCAUUAAGAUCUGUAAUGUUGACAUGACUUGUAAUAAAUGUGCAAAGCAGAAAAUGUUUUCCUAAUACAGGUAUUGCUUUUGUCUUUCAGGAAAACACCCUGAACCAGAAGAGUGCUAUAAUUCACAUUUCAGAUUUUCAAAAGCUGUUUAAACAAGCUUAACUCAAGUCUAAUUAUUUACAAUAGUGAAAAAGUUUACACAGUGUGUGAGGAACAAAUCACAUUCUGAAGAGGCUUACAAGCAUGCUUUCAGUAUCCCUAAUAAAUUGCACAUGAUGGAACUAUUUAGGAGAAGUCACAGUAAAAUCCAUUCCCAUCUUCACUAGGACAAAAAUCUUCGAUAAGGGGGAAACAAAAAGACAAGAAACCACAUCAGAGCAUGCCAGGUUGCUGCUAUCCCCCGCCCUCUUCAGUCUUAACCACUUCCCUCUGUCACAACUCAUAGUUACUUUACAGCAGUGAGGAAUUAGUUCUGCAAGAAAUGCCACAUCCAGGUCAGAGGCAGACAUGUUUCCCAUGUCUAACAGUGAGGAUGACUGAGAUCUACGGUUUCCUGAACUCUGGACAGAGAGUUUAUUUAGACUAGAAGUAGACCCAGUUAAUUUUCCAGAACUUCCAUGAAGACCUGUGAAAUAAAGACACUAUGAAGGAGGAAAGUGAAGACAGAAUAAAAUACUGAAGAAUAGGUUUUGUUACAGAACAUAUGAGGUCAAGAGUUGCUAGCAGUCCUACAUUAAAACCAAACAACUUUUGUCUAAGCUAUAAA